rnacentral:lncRNA from 1 species
UUGGAUAUUUGUGACGUUUUUCGGCAUAUAGGCCUUACUGCCCCCAGCUGAUGAAAACAUUCUGCGUACGGUCCUGUAAACGUUCUAGUAAGCCAAAGAACGGAGGUUAACUCCUUGCCUCAAGGGCCAACGUACCAAUUCUGAAAAUGGGCACCGUGCCAAAACCGCCACUUCGCUAUUUACUCGUUUACACGACAACAUUUUGUAAACACACUUUUAUGAUAGGCACCGUGCCCAUCGGAAAACGGCACCUCUACUUUCCGUUUACGACAGUAUAUUUUAAAGAAUAAAUAUGUCGGACAGAAAUAGAAUUAUAUAUUUAUAUUUAUUGGAACGAAGAAGAGUAUUAUAUGAGCCGAAAAUCGAGGGAAAAAGCCAAUUCAAUACUAGAAAAGUACUUUAAGGCUAGUAAGGCUCAUAUGGGCAAAAGUUAUCCCGGUUCACAGUAGCGAUCGGGGUUAGCGGAAAGUUAUCUCGGUUAGCGGUUCGACAAGUUUACAAGCGAGAUCUUGCCUUGGUAUGAAAAUAAUAUGAAAAGUUACACUGCGUUCAUAUGAGACAAAAAGUUUUCCCGUGUACCGAGAUCUCGCUUGUUGACAAGCCAAAUCUCGGUGACCGGAAUAAUGUUUUUCCCAUAUGCAUGAACACAACUUUACCGCUUAGCGGGAUACUGACUUUCUGUCGUAUCAGCAUCUUUUCAAUUCAAUUGAUAUUCAGUGUGUGCCCAUCGGAAAACGGCACCUCUAUUUUCCGUUUACGACGGUAUAUUUUAAAGAAUAAACUAUACUAGG